rnacentral:rRNA from 1 species
UACAGAGGUCCCAAGCGUUGUUCGGAUUCAUUGGGCGUAAAGGGUGCGUAGGCGGCGCGGUAAGUCGGGUGUGAAAUCUCGGAGCUUAACUCCGAAACUGCAUUCGAUACUGCCGUGCUUGAGGACUGGAGAGGAGACUGGAAUUUACGGUGUAGCGGUGAAAUGCGUAGAUAUCGUAAGGAAGACCAGUGGCGAAGGCGGGUCUCUGGGCUGACACUGACGCUCAUGCACGAAAGCGUGGGGAGCAAACAGG